rnacentral:rRNA from 1 species
CAGUCGCCGCGGUAAUACGUAGGUGGCAAGCGUUGUCCGGAAUUAUUAGGCGUAAAGAGCUCGCAGGCGGUUUCUUAAGUCUGAUGUGAAAGCCCCCGGCUCAACCGGGGAGGGUCAUUGGAAACUGGGAAACUUGAGUGCAGAAGAGGAGAGUGGAAUUCCACGUGUAGCGGUGAAAUGCGUAGAGAUGUGGAGGAACACCAGUGGCGAAGGCGACUCUCUGGUCUGUAACUGACGCUGAGGAGCGAAAGCGUGGGGAGCGAACAGGAUUAGAUACCCCGGUAGUCCCUGUCUCUUAUCC